rnacentral:rRNA from 1 species
AUGGCUAGUCCCCUAUCUUCUCCGUUGUCUCCCGAGAGUGAAAUUCUUAAUUUUAAGCAAAGGGAGGGAGAAAAUCUAAAAGAUGUUUGGUAUAGAAUUUGCAAUGCUCAAAAUAGAUCUACUAGGAAGCAAUCUACUUCCGUUUUUCUUCGGAAUUUUUAUGUAGGCAUUACUCCUUGGCACAGAUAUGUUCUUGAUACUAUUACCGGAGGGAACUUCUUGGGUAGCCAUACUUUUGAUUCUUAUAAUGCUAUGAUAGAUUUAUUUGGCUCACCCCCUUUUUUGGUUAAUGGAACUAUAUUAACUUUAAAGCAUGUAAUGCAAAGGCUUGAAAUUAUUGAAAAUAAGGUUGCUAUCGUAAAGUUAAUUGAAAAUUUGGAUAAAAAGAUCCAUAGCCGAAUCUCUCAAUAUGGAUCUAAAGUAGGAGUUACUUUGAAAAACAUUAAAGAAAAGAAACCCAUAGUUAAUGAGAAAAUAAAUCACGAUUCCACUAGGAUCGAUAAACUUGAGGAUAUUAUUACCAACUUGGGAACCGAUUUUUCUUUCAUAAAUAAUACUCCAAGUCCUCUCACUAAAAUUGCCAAGCUUAUGUAUGUUCCUAAAAAUAAGGGUGAAUCCUCUAGUAAGGAAAAUGCAGAUCUCAAAUCUAUAAGUAUUCAUCCCAAUCUUUUUGCUAUCAUUAAGGAACUAUUUGUUACAAAUGAAUUUUUUGAUCUUGUGCCUAAAAGUUUGAUAAUUAAUAAAAAGAAAGACAUUCCUAAAGAUGGUAUAUGCCUCAUUGAAGAAUUACCUACCAAAGAUGGCAAUAUCUAG